rnacentral:rRNA from 1 species
AUUUAUUGCCGAUGUAAACUUUGCUUUUCAGUGCAGCUGCUUGGGUACUACGAGCGAGUGCUUAAAACUCAAAGAACUUGGCGGCUUGUUAACUACCUAGGGGAAUAUGCGCCUUAAUCCGAUGAUCCCCGUCAUAUCUUACUGAGUCUUGAAAAAGUGCAGCUGGUGUAUUGCCGUUGUCAGCUUGUUGUUCGAGCAAAGAGAAACAGGCUUAAUGGAUCCCGGUGAUAGUCUUCACGGGAAUCCAUGAAUUCAGGUCGUAAUACUGCCUAUGGCUCAAGGGAGCGGGUGUUACAAUUCAUAUUUGGAAUUACGGAUCCUCAUUGUGGAAUCUUGGGGUGAAGGUGAACUUAGGAGUAAGGAGAGAUUAAUGUGCUUUCCUGAACAUGAAUCUAACUCGUGUACAAACUGCCCGUCGCUCUCGGCGAGAGCUGAGAU